rnacentral:rRNA from 1 species
GAUGAACGCUGGCGGCGUGCCUAAUACAUGCAAGUCGAGCGAAUGGAUUAAGAGCUUGCUCUUAUGAAGUUAGCGGCGGACGGGUGAGUAACACGUGGGUAACCUGCCCAUAAGACUGGGAUAACUCCGGGAAACCGGGGCUAAUACCGGAUAAUAUUUUGAACUGCAUGGUUCAAAAUUGAAAGGCUGCUUCGGCUGUCACUUAUGGAUGGACCCGCGUCGCAUUAGCUAGUUGGUGAGGUAACGGCUCACCAAGGCAACGAUGCGUAGCCGAACUCAGAAGGUGAUCGGCCACACUGGGACUGAGACACGGCCCAGACACCUACGGGAGGCAGCAGGAGGGAAUCUUCCGCAAUGGACGAAAGUCGGACGAAGCAACGCCGCGUGAGUGAUGAAGGCUUUCGGGUCGUAAAACUCUGUUGUUAGGGAAGAACAAGUGCUAGUUGAAUAAGCUGGCACCGUGACGGUACCUAACCAGAAAGCCACGGCUAACUACGUGCCAGCCGCCGCAGUAA